GUCGACAACACAACUUCGAUUGACCGGGACCUAGCUAGCUAUAAAUCGGAGUCUUUGCGAGGCGAUCGGUCCGCACUAUCUUCAGAGUAGAAGCUUAAGCACCGGUUGUACCACCACAGCUGAGAUAAUUAAUGGAGCGAUCUUCUUCUUGCUCAGUCGCUCCAGCAGCCGUGGCAAUAAUCCUGGCCAUCAUAUGCUGCUCCUUGCCAUGCUCGGUGGCCAUCCAAGUACAUGAUCCAGACGGAUACCGUCCGGGACCGAGUCCUCCGGCACCGAGAGCCCAGCCUGGGCGUCGUCCAUAUCCAGAUCCACGACCACGAUGCCCGGGCUGCCCGCUGCCGUCGCCGCACCGCAAGACCCUCCAGCAGCAGCAAAUAGUACAUACUAUCAACUGAUGUAUCGAUGAAUAUUCACCGGAGACGGGGUGGAUAUGUAUUUUACCCGGCCCUCAAGAGACUGCCUCUCGGAAAUUAUUUAUCCCUUUGAAAGGGGAAAUGUUAUGUCAUUCUGCCUGGCUGUGAGUUCACCCAUCGGCCGUACGUGCUAAGGGCGUGGCAUCUAGUACUAGUACUGUGUUCCUAGGGGUCUAGAUGAAAUUGUGGAGAGAUUGGCUGUAUCUCAUUCCAUCGUUUUAUAUCCAUAUUUUGGAAUAUGUUGCAUGAAUAAGCUAAUAUCGUACGCCUUUUUUCUUUGACAA